rnacentral:rRNA from 1 species
CCUACGGGAGACAGCAGUAGGGAAUAUUGCUCAAUGGGGGAAACCCUGAAGCAGCAACGCCGCGUGGAGGAUGAAGGUUUUCGGAUUGUAAACUCCUUUUGUUAGAGAAGAUAAUGACGGUAUCUAACGAAUAAGCACCGGCUAACUCCGUGCCAGCAGCCGCGGUAAUACGGAGGGUGCAAGCGUUACUCGGAAUCACUGGGCGUAAAGAGCGCGUAGGCGGGAUAGCAAGUCAGAUGUGAAAUCCUAUGGCUUAACCAUAGGACUGCAUUUGAAACUGUUAUUCUAGAGUAUGGGAGAGGUAGGUGGAAUUCUUGGUGUAGGGGUAAAAUGCGUAGAGAUCAAGAGGAAUACUCAUGGCGAAGGCGACCUGCUAGAACAUAACUGACGCUGAUGCGCGAAAGCGUGGGGAGCAAACAGGAUUAGAUACCCGUGUAGUC